rnacentral:rRNA from 1 species
GCAUAUUCAUAAGCGGAGGAAAAGAAACCACAGGGAUUGCCUCAGUAACGGCGAGUGAAGCGGCAACAGCUCAAAUUUGAAAGCUGCCAACAGGCCGCGUUGUAAUUUGUAGAAGAUGCUUUGGGGGUUGGCCUAGUCUAAGUUCCUUGGAACAGGACGUCAUAGAGGGUGAGAAUCCCGUAUGUGAUUAGUGCCGUCUCCCGUGUAAAGCUCUUUCGACGAGUCGAGUUGUUUGGGAAUGCAGCUCAAAAUGGGUGGUAAAUUUCAUCUAAAGCUAAAUAUUGGCCAGAGACCGAUAGCGCACAAGUAGAGUGAUCGAAAGAUGAAAAGCACUUUGGAAAGAGAGUUAAACAGUACGUGAAAUUGUUGAAAGGGAAGCGCUUGCAACCAGACUUGUGGGCGGUUGAUCAUCCGAGGUUCUCCCCGGUGCACUCGAUCGUUCUCAGGCCAGCAUCGGUUUCAGGGGUGGGAGAAAGGCUCUAGGAAUGUGGCUCUUCGGAGUGUUAUAGCCUAGGGUGCAAUGCCACCUCCCGGGACCGAGGACCGCGCUUCGGCUAGGAUGCUGGCGUAAUGGUUGUAAGCGGCCCGUCUUGAAACACGGACCAAGGAGUCUAACAUCUAUGCGAGUGUUUGGGUGUCAAACCCAUACGCGUAAUGAAAGUGAACGGAGGUGAGAGCUCGUUAGGGCGCAUCAUCGACCGAUCCUGAUGUCUUCGGAUGGAUUUGAGUAAGAGCAUAGCUGUUGGGACCCGAAAGAUGGUGAACUAUGCGUGAAUAGGGUGAAGCCAGAGGAAACUCUGGUGGAGGCUCGCAGCGGUUCUGACGUGCAAAUCGAUCGUCAAAUUUGCGUAUAGGGGCGAAAGACUAAUCGAACCAUCUAGUAGCUGGUCUGGCGA